UCGGAUAUGGUGUAUGGUACACCGCCUCUGCCGUUGGAUGUGGGCUGGACAGGAUUAAGAGAGGCGAUCCGGGGUUCGACUCCCCGUGUCCGAA